AACGAACGCUGGCGGCAGGCCUAACACAUGCAAGUCGAACGCUGCAGCAAUACAGAGUGGCAGACGGGUGAGUAACGCGUGGGAACGUGCCCUUUGGUUCGGAAUAACCCAGGGAAACUUGGGCUAAUACCGGAUACGUCCGUAAGGAGAAAGAUUUAUCGCCAAAAGGGAUCGGCCCGCGUCGGAUUAGCUAGUUGGUGAGGUAAAGGCUCACCAAGGCGACGAUCCGUAGCUGGUCNGAGAGGAUGACCAGCCACACUGGGACUGAGACACGGCCCAGACUCCUACGGGAGGCAGCAGUGAGGAAUAUUGGACAAUGGGCGCAAGCCUGAUCCAGCCAUGCCGCGUGA
rnacentral:rRNA from 1 species